CGCCUACGGGGGGCAGCAGUGGGGAAUAUUGGACAAUGGGCGAAAGCCUGAUCCAGCAAUGCCGCGUGAGUGAAGAAGGCCUUCGGGUUGUAAAGCUCUUUUACCCGGGAAGAUAAUGACUGUACCGGGAGAAUAAGCCCCGGCUAACUCCGUGCCAGCAGCCGCGGUAAUACGGAGGGGGCUAGCGUUGUUCGGAAUUACUGGGCGUAAAGCGCACGUAGGCGGCUUUGUAAGUUAGAGGUGAAAGCCUGGGGCUCAACUCCAGAAGUGCCUUUAAGACUGAAUCGCUUGAACACGGGAGAGGUGAGUGGAAUUCCGAGUGUAGAGGUGAAAUUCGUAGAUAUUCGGAAGAACACCAGUGGCGAAGGCGGCUCACUGGACCGUUGUUGACGCUGAGGUGCGAAAGCGUGGGGAGCAAACAGGAUUAGAUACCCCGGUAGUCCA
rnacentral:rRNA from 1 species